rnacentral:rRNA from 1 species
UAACACGGACUGUGCGAACGUUAUUCGGAAUCACUGGGCUUAAAGCGUCCGUAGGCGGCCCUGCAGGUGGGGUGUGAAAUCCCUCGGCUUAACCGAGGAAUAGCGCUCCAAACCACAGGGCUUGAGAGAGAUAGAGGUAAGCGGAACUCACGGUGGAGCGGUGAAAUGCGUUGAUAUCGUGAGGAACACCGGUGGCGAAAGCGGCUUACUGGGUCUCUUCUGACGCUGAGGGACGAAAGCUAGGGGAGCGAACGGGAUUAGAUACCCCGGUAGUCCUAGCUGUAAACGAUGAGCACUAGAUCGGGGGGACCUCCACAUCCCCCUGGUCGUAGCGAAAGUGUUAAGUGCUCCGCCUGGGGAGUAUGGUCGCAAGGCUGAAACUUAAAUGAAUUGACGG